rnacentral:tRNA from 2 species
AGAAUCUUAGGUUAAGAUUAAACCCUCAGCCUUCAAAGCUUAAAUUAAACUUUAUUGUUUAGAUUCUG